GUGCUUUUUUUGGCUGUACAUAUAUUAAAAUUGGAAUAGUACAGAGAAGAUUAGCAUGGCCCCUGCAUAAGGAUGACAGGAAAAUGAGUUGGGCAUGAUCCUUUGUA